AACGAACGCUGGCGGCAUGCCUAACACAUGCAAGUCGAACGAGACCUUCGGGUCUAGUGGCGCAAGGGUGCGUAACGCGUGGGAACCUGCACUUAGGUUCGGAAUAACUCCCCGAAAGGGGUGCUAAUACCGGUUGAUGUCUUCGGACCAAAGAUUUAUCGCCUUUGGAUGGGCCCGCGUUGGAUUAGCUGGUUGGUAGGGUAAACGCCUACCAAGGCGACGGUCGAUAGCUGGUCUGAGAGGAUGAUCGGCCACACUGGGACUGAGACACGGCCCAGACUCCGACGGGAGGCAGCAGUAGGGAACAUUGGACACUGGGCGAAUGCCGGAUCCAGCAAUGCCGGGUGAGUGAUGAAGGCCUUAGGGUUGUAAAGCUCUUUUACCCGGGAUGAUAAUGACAGUACCUGGAGAAUAAGCUCCGGCUAACUCCGUG
rnacentral:rRNA from 1 species